rnacentral:lncRNA from 1 species
UGAUUUUCAUCCCAGAUGAGAUACGUAGGCAUAAGACGCGAUGUCUUAGCGAGCACACUCCUCUUUAACCCAUAGGUGGCCGAGCUACGAAGACUCUGAUUCUCAGAUUCAGAUGAGAUACGUAUGCAGUGGAUGCAACGUCCGUGCGAGUCAUUUUCUUUUGACCCUUCUUUUAGUAAGUAGUACAUUAGAUAAACAUACACGC